rnacentral:rRNA from 1 species
UACGGGGGGGGCAAGCGUUGUUCGGAAUUACUGGGCGUAAAGGGCUCGUAGGCGGCCAACUAAGUCAGACGUGAAAUCCCUCGGCUUAACCGGGGAACUGCGUCUGAUACUGGAUGGCUUGAGUUCGGGAGAGGGAUGCGGAAUUCCAGGUGUAGCGGUGAAAUGCGUAGAUAUCAUUUGGAACGCCAAUGGUGAAAACAGGUAGCUGGGGCUGAUGCUGACACUGAGACACGAAAGCCAGGGGAGCAAACGGG